rnacentral:lncRNA from 1 species
GACCCUUCUUAUUCUUUCAGAUGUGGACUAGUACAUUGGAUGUAGACAAAUACAUUAGUUAGCCUCUUGUUCCUUCUGUGCUGUGUCUGGUCUAUUAAUGAAUUGGAAAAUGUGUGCUGUGGAUUAAGCUUUCUGAGUUGGUGACAAACCUUAAAUCGAGUGCCAAAAUAAAGUGUGGGUCCCUCUGUCUAGAAGUUCAUGCAAGUGCCUGUGCCUGAGGAUACCAGGUCCACUUCUGAAGGUGUGCAACCAUGGCUCAGAAUUCUGAGGAAAAUGCUAAGUUGCAGGAGAAAAUAAAUAGCUGUCAGAAGGUCUGAAGAGGAGAUUCAUGUGAGAUGAGAAAGGUGAAAUUUCAGACAAGGAAAGCUGUGUACAGUGUCUCACCAGUCCCCCACAAAGAGACAGCUGCUGUUGCUGUUACAAUCACAUUUUGUUUUUGUCAUUGUUGGUGUUCUUCAUUUGAUUCUUAUUGAACAGAAAUGACAGUUUGAUUUCACUUGCUUUUAAAAUAAAAAGCUUGUCCAAUGUAUCCUGCA